ensembl:piRNA 21ur-13984 ncRNA
UUUCUUUCAAAAUUCCGAUCA